GACGAACGCUGGCGGCGUGCUUAAUACAUGCGAGUCGAACGGAAAGUCCCCCUUCGGGGCGUACUCGAGUGGCGAACGGGGGAGUAACACGGGAGUAACCUGCCCUUGAUAUUGUGAUAACUUCAGGAAACUGGCGCUAAGACAGGAUAGGAGCUCCUGCUUCAUGGUUGGUGCUGGAAGGUUUCGGCGGGUGGGGGUGUACUCGCGGCCUAUCAGCUUGUGGGUGGGGGAGUGGCUGACCAAGGCUUUGAGGGGUAGCCGGCCUGUGAGAGUGACCGGCGGCACUGGGACUGAGGGACGGCCCCAGCUCCUACGGGACGCCAAUGGGGGGAAUAUUGCCCGAUGGGUGCCAGCCUGGUGCAGCAACGCCGUGGGCGGGAUGACGGUCUUCUUGUUGUAAAACGCGUUCGCUCAUAACGAAGCUUUGUGUGACGGUAGUGGGUAAAGAAGCACCGGCUAACUACGUG
rnacentral:rRNA from 1 species